AUUGAACGCUGGCGGCAUGCUUUACACAUGCAAGUCGAACGGUAACAGGUUAAGCUGACGAGUGGCGAACGGGUGAGUAAUGCAUCGGAACGUGCCCGGUCGUGGGGGAUAACGCAGCGAAAGCUGCGCUAAUACCGCAUACGAUCUGAGGAUGAAAGCGGGGGAUCGCAAGACCUCGUGCUCAUGGAGCGGCCGAUAUCUGAUUAGCUAGUUGGUGGGGUAAAGGCUCACCAAGGCAACGAUCAGUAGCUGGUCUGAGAGGACGACCAGCCACACUGGAACUGAGACACGGUCCAGACUCCUACGGGAGGCAGCAGUGGGGAAUUUUGGACAAUGGGGGCAACCCUGAUCCAGCAAUGCCGCGUGAGUGAAGAAGGCCUUCGGGUUGUAAAGCUCUUUUGUCAGGGAAGAAACGACUCCUUCUAAUACAGGGAGUUAAUGACGGUACCUGAAGAAUAAGCACCGGCUAACUACGUGCCAGCCGCCGCCGUAA
rnacentral:rRNA from 1 species